GAUGAACGCUAGCGGCAGGCUUAAUACAUGCAAGUCAAGGGGGUAGCAAUACAACCGGCGCACGGGUGAGUAACGCGUACACAACAUACCAUAUACUGGAGUAUAGCUUUGGGAAACUGAAGGUAAUCCUCCAUAACAUUGCGAGAGGGCAUCUGAUUGCAAUUAAAGUUUCGGCGGUAUAUGAUUGGUGUGCGUUUGAUUAGCUAGUUGGUAGGGUAACGGCCUACCAAGGCGACGAUCAAUAGUUGGCGUGAGAGCGCGACCAGCCACACUGGAACUGAGACACGGUCCAGACUCCUACGGGAGGCAGCAGUAGGGAAUAUUGGACAAUGGAGGAAACUCUGAUCCAGCCAUGCCGCGUGAUAGAUGAAGGCCCUCUGGGUUGUAAAUAUCUUUUAUCUGGGAAGAAACACUCCUAUUCUUAGGAACUUGACGGUACCAGAGGAAUAAGCACCGGCUAACUCCGUGCCAGCAGCCGCGGUAAAGUAGUCG
rnacentral:rRNA from 1 species